GGGCACGUGGCGGAAUUGGUAUACGCGCAGCGUUCAGAACGCUGUUCCCUUACGGGAUUGGAGGUUCAAAUCCUCUCGUGCCCACCA
rnacentral:tRNA from 2 species